CGAGCGGUAGAGAUCUUUCGGGAUCUUGAGAGCGGCGUACGGGUGCGGAACACGUGUGCAACCUGCCUUUAUCUGGGGGAUAGCCUUUCGAAAGGAAGAUUAAUACCCCAUAAUAUAUUGAAUGGCAUCAUUUGAUAUUGAAAACUCCGGUGGAUAGAGAUGGGCACGCGCAAGAUUAGAUAGUUGGUGAGGUAACGGCUCACCAAGUCAGCGAUCUUUAGGGGGCCUGAGAGGGUGAUCCCCCACACUGGUACUGAGACACGGACCAGACUCCUACGGGAGGCAGCAGUGAGGAAUAUUGGACAAUGGGUGAGAGCCUGAUCCAGCCAUCCCGCGUGAAGGACGACGGCCCUAUGGGUUGUAAACUUCUUUUGUAUAGGGAUAAACCUACCCUCGUGAGGGUAGCUGAAGGUACUAUACGAAUAAGCACCGGCUAACUCCGUGCCAGCAGCCGCGGUAAUACGGAGGGUGCAAGCGUUAUCCGGAUUUAUUGGGUUUAAAGGGUCCGUAGGCUGAUUUGUAAGUCAGUGGUGAAAUCUCACAGCUUAACUGUGAAACUGCCAUUGAUACUGCAAGUCUUGAGUGUUGUUGAAGUAGCUGGAAUAAGUAGUGUAGCGGUGAAAUGCAUAGAUAUUACUUAGAACACCAAUUGCGAAGGCAGGUUACUAAGCAACAACUGACGCUGAUGGACGAAAGCGUGGGGAGCGAACAGGAUUAGAUACCCUGGUAGUCCACGCCGUAAACGAUGCUAACUCGUUUUUGGGCUUUUGGGUUCAGAGACUAAGCGAAAGUGAUAAGUUAGCCACCUGGGGAGUACGAACGCAAGUUUGAAACUCAAAGGAAUUGACGGGGGCCCGCACAAGCGGUGGAUUAUGUGGUUUAAUUCGAUGAUACGCGAGGAACCUUACCAAGGCUUAAAUGGGAAAUGACAGGCUUAGAAAUAGGCUUUUCUUCGGACAUUUUUCAAGGUGCUGCAUGGUUGUCGUCAGCUCGUGCCGUGAGGUGUUAGGUUAAGUCCUGCAACGAGCGCAACCCCUGUCACUAGUUGCCAUCAUUAAGUUGGGGACUCUAGUGAGACUGCCUACGCAAGUAGAGAGGAAGGUGGGGAUGACGUCAAAUCAUCACGGCCCUUACGCCUUGGGCCACACACGUAAUACAAUGGCCGGUACAGAGGGCAGCUACACUGCGAAGUGAUGCAAAUCUCGAAAGCCGGUCUCAGUUCGGAUUGGAGUCUGCAACUCGACUCUAUGAAGCUGGAAUCGCUAGUAAUCGCGCAUCAGCCAUGGCGCGGUGAAUACGUUCCCGGGCCUUGUACACACCGCCCGUCAAGCCAUGGAAGUCUGGGGUACCUGAAGUCGGUGACC
rnacentral:rRNA from 1 species